CUCAGCGGCUGGGGGACCUCACGCGUUAACUCCAUUGCCCAUCAGCCACGUGAGUCUUGGCUUUCUCCUCGGCCACGAGGGGAUGGCGGAAGAGCCGCCCACGUCUUGGCGAGCUGGUGUGGGUGCAGGAGAUGGCAUAUGGCUAACCUGCUUGGCACGGUGUGUGGAACACAGAAACCUUGAGCGAUAGCCCAGGGCAAGGCCAACACCACCUUCAAGGCCGUCUGCGUCACUGGGGCGGGGCCGGGCAGGAUACCGGCACCACUGAGCACGUGAGUGUGAGUGCGUGUGUGCAGAGGGCCACAAUCCCGCCCGCAUAUCUGAGCCACGCUACAGCAGGUGCAUGGACCCACCGAGCCCCGAGGCCCCAGAUCCUUUCCUUCCGAGUCGCAGAUGUUCGACAGCCCGCGUCAGCUACUCAGCCCUCAGUCUGGGCUCCGUAUUGUAAUUCUGUCUUCGGUCUGGCAGAUCUUGGCGUGGACCACUGAUCCCGCGGGCUGGAGGCUGGGCCUCUGGAAGGCCGGGCUGCAGGUGGUGGAGGGCAUCCACUGGGAAUUCGAGGUACAGCCACUUUACGGGGGAGGUGGGUGCACCGGGGAGGAGUGUAACCUUAUAAUUUUGCUGCCCCUCGAAAGAAAACUUUACAUUUUAAAUUAACAGCGUGUCCACUGCCAGUAUUUGUGGUUACUACCUGUAACGUAAAUCUCUUUUAGAGAUGUGUGAGAACAGCAUACAUAAUGAAAUAUCAACAUGUAACUUGAUUUAAAGUGGCUUUUCAUUAAUAUAACAAAUGAAGUGUACCAAAAUUUGAAAGUAUAUUCCUUUGGGCCUAAUUAAAACACUGAACAAAAUACAUGUAUAUGUAUAUUUUAAAUGAAGACGUUCAGCAACCAGAAUUAGCUACAGAAAUUAAUUCAACUUGAAAAGUGCACCGUGAGUACAUUGUUAUUAUUAACGUAGCCAAUCCUCUUUCCUGAGAUAUCUCAAAUAAUGGGCAUCUGAUUUAGUGCCUGCAAGGGGUGACAAGUGGGCUUUGCUUUAAAAAUACCGUAGUAUUUUUAAUACACGGUGGCUUAUCCCACGGGUGUUUUAACUGUGCUGCCUUUUGGUCGGAGGAGAAUUUUCUGGGCACCUGUGACGGCGUCAGAGAGCUGAGAUCUCCUCCGACUGAGGAGAGCUUCCUUGGCCCAACUUCUGUGCACAAAGGGCAGUGGCCUCUGUCUCGGGAGGCUGUGGCCAGAGCUCAGGAAGGAACAGGCUCUCUUUCAAUGGGCAAUAGCCCUGACAGGCACCCAAGCUGGCAUCCAGGAAUGGGUCCCUGUGGCUGGCCUGAAGACACACAGAAAGGACUAGAGACUAACCAUGAGAAGGCAGGAGCCGGGGAUGAAGGAGAGGCAGAAGCAGAAAAGCAAUGUGGUUCCACCGCUGAACCAAGGGCAGGGAGUGAAUGCAUUUGCCAUGACCCUCAUCCCCUACUCUUCGGUGGCAGUAAACUAAAGGUGCACCGGAAACCCAGCAGAGGGGUCCCAAGCUCAAGGUGGGGCUCCUGGGGUCGGCACUCUAGGCUUGGGCAGCGAGUGGCUCCCUGCCGACAAUUUUGGCCGGUGACAGAAGAUACCCCAGAGGUCGGGGGACCGACAGAGAAACCUCCUUGCCCAUGCACGUGACCCCUCAGCCAUCUGGAACAGCGCCUUGUUUCUAGGGCUACGGAGCAGGACUUCUUACCAUGACCCUCUGGGACGUGGAUGGGCCUUAGGCUUGGCAGGAAAUCUCUCCAGGCCCAGCAAGGCCCCAAGGACCAGGAGAUCCCAUCUGGGGACCGGAGAAGUGCGUGUGUGUUAGCACACGUGUGUGAGGAUGAAACUACAGAAAGAUGGGCUUUCUCCAAACAGUGACCACAUCUGUGCUGGCUGAGUGGCGACCUAGAACUCCAGUGGCGGGCGAGCCGUGUCACCCUUCACCCUUCUGCUCCUUUACGUCUACGUGGAGACAUCGGUGGUACCUGUCCUCCUAGGACUGAUGUGAGGAUUGGACUAAAUACUGCGUACAAAGUAUUAUUCUUCAGAGCGCUAAGUACUUCAUAAUCGUUCAUCACAAUCCUGGUUUUUCUGUACGUUACUGGCUUAUAUUCCAGUCCCUGGGGGAGGGGAAUGAAGCACCAUAACAAUAACUGAUACUUGUACAGCAAUAUAUAAUUGACACAUUACUUUUGUGUCCCUGAUCUCUGUUAAACGUGCAAUGACACAGGCCAGUCCCUGGGUUGUUCUUCCUCCCUUCCCGGAAGAAACAGGCUCUCAGGGUACAGACUUGCCCAGCACUACAUAGCCCAGUGCUUGCAAUCUGAGUCUCUGUCUUGGAACCCUGGGGAUGAGGGAGGAAGCCCCCCCUCAUGGACUCCAGAGAAAGCUCCAUAGAACCUUCUAGAACUUCCCUGACUUCCCUUAACAGGCUGGGGAAGAAGAAACUAAGCCAGGUGGGGCAGGUGCAGACAGCAAGGCUCAGCCUGACCAGGACCAUCUCCUGAAAACACUUCCAUUUGGUCAACAACUGGCUUUAAUUCCACAGUUGCCACACCUGAUUCCCGGGGGGGGGAGGGAGGACCCAAGCCCCCAGGUCAAACGUCUCCAUUUCUAGGUGAUUUGUUGGAAGAUGGGUGGCUUCUACCAACAGCUCUUAAAUAUUAACAUAUCCCAUUGGACGCAUAUUAACAGGCACAUCGUAAAG
rnacentral:lncRNA from 1 species